rnacentral:rRNA from 1 species
GUGGGGAAUAUUGCACAAUGGGCGCAAGCCUGAUGCAGCGACGCCGCGUGGGGGAUGACGGCCUUCGGGUUGUAAACCUCUUUCGGUGGGGAGGAAGCCGGCCCUGUUGUAGGGGUGGGUGACGGUACCUGCUAAAGAAGCACCGGCUAACUACGUGCCAGCAGCCGCGGUAAUACGUAGGGUGCAAGCGUUGUCCGGAAUUAUUGGGCGUAAAGAGCUCGUAGGCGGCGUGUCGCGUCGGAUGUGAAAGCCCGGGGCUUAACCCCGGGUUGGCAUUCGAUACGGGCAGGCUAGAGUUCGGUAGGGGAGACUGGAAUUCCUGGUGUAGCGGUGAAAUGCGCAGAUAUCAGGAGGAACACCGGUGGCGAAGGCGGGUCUCUGGGCCGAUACUGACGCUGAGGAGCGAAAGCGUGGGGAGCGAACAGGAUUAGAAACCCCGGUAGUCC